GAUGAAGAACGUAGCGAAAUGCGAUAAAUAAUGUGAAUUGCAGAAUUCCGUGAAUCAUCGAAUCUUUGAACGCACAUUGCGCCCCUUGGUAUCCCGAGGGGCAUGCCUGUUCGAGCGUCAUUUCACCACUCAAGCCUGGCUUGGUGUUGGGCGACGUCCCCUUUGGGGACGCGCCUCGAAACGCUCGGCGGCGUGGCACCGGCUUUAAGCGUAGCAGAAUCUUUCGCUUUGGAAGUCGGGGCCCCGUCUGCCGGAAGACCUACUCGCAAGGUUGACCUCGGAUCAGGCAGGGAUACCCGCUGAACUUAAGCAUAUCAAUAAGCGGAGGA
rnacentral:misc_RNA from 1 species